CAACGGAUAAAAGCUACCCUGGGGAUAACAGGCUUAUCUCCCCCAAGAGUCCACAUCGACGGGGAGGUUUGGCACCUCGAUGUCGGCUCAUCACAUCCUGGGGCUGUCGUAGGUCCCAAGGGUUGGGCUGUUCGCCCAUUAAAGUGGUACGCGAGCUGGUUUCAGAACGUCGUGAGACAGUUCGGUCCCUAUCCGUCGCAUGCGUAGGAACUUUGAGAAGACCUGUCCUUAGUAC
rnacentral:rRNA from 1 species